rnacentral:lncRNA from 1 species
AUGACAAAUGUCAGUAGCGGAGGACAAGAUAUGGGUGUUGUUCCCAGAUAUGAAGGGGAGAUGACACCAACACAGAGAAAUAGUUGCAACAUGGCAGAGAAGCCCUGCUCCUUGUGUUCAUUCAAGACUCAAGUUCUCUCAAAGUCCUUUUUUCUGACAAUGCCAAGGGCACUGUCAUCACCUGCAAGGUCUAUGCUGGAUUCCACUUUGCGGGGAUGGAUUUCCACCUUGCUGUUGGCAAGGGGAGUAAGCAAGCUCAAGCUCAAGACCUCACAGAUCACUUCUCUUCAAUUCCAUCAGCGAGAACUUGGUAUGUGGCUAUUCUUAACCACAAGAGAGCCAGGGAAAUGCAAUCUAGCUGGGCAGUUAUGUGUCCAAAUGAAGGACAGAAUGUAUUUUUCACAGACAACCAGCAGUCUUGCCAUCAAGUCCUUGUUAUUUUCCUUUUCUUUUCUUUUUUUUGGGGGGGGUCACACCUAUGGCAUAUGGAAGUUCCCCAGCUACAGGGUCAAGUCAGAGUUUCAGCUGCCGGGCUAUGCCACAGCCACAGCAACUCGAGAUCUGAGCCUCGUCUGUGACCUACACCACAGCAACGCCAGAUCCUUAACCCACUGAGUGAGGCCAGGGAUUGAACCUGCAUCCUAACAGAUACUAGCCGGAUUCGUUUCUGCUACGCCACAAUGAGAACUCCCCAAGUUCUUGUUAAGAACAUGAAAUAAACAAUUGGAGUGUCAAAUAUUGUCUGUGACUAAAAAACAUUGUAACAGAAGUUCAGCUGUCAUUAAGUUCUUAGAUAAGAAAAAUUUUAUGAUUUAUUAAGAUUAGAACUUUAUACUCAAUUUGUUCACUUUAUGUUCAUAUACAUGCUCAUAAAUAUAUCUUGAUUAGAUUCUUAGGACGCUGUUGUACUCCACAUAUGGUAAAUAUGGAAAAUGAUUUGAGAAACUGUAGCAAUGGGUGCCAUACGAGGCAUUUAAGUCUGGAACUUGGGAUACUUGGGAUUUCGGGCCAGCACUCCCAUUAUCUGUAUGACUUUGUCCAACACAUUUAAUCUGUCUGGAUCUCAUUCCCUAAGUUUUUAAAGUUUUAACAGUACAGUCUGUCCUAUUACUUCCACCUUCCAAAUAUAGCUUAAACCCAUCUACUUUCCUAUUGCUACCAUCCUAGUCCUCUCUUCAUCCCCCAUCUACAGUUCCCAUCCCUUUUCAUUCUCCAGCUCCGUCUCAGGUGGUUUUUCUCAGACGAAUCCCCAUUGAUGUUUUUUCAGUUCCUAGACCACGUUGAGCUCUUCUUGCACAAAACCUCUUUAUUCAUUGGUCCCUUUGACUGUAUCUCCCUAUCUUUUGCAUAAUCGUAUCCUUUUUACCCUUUGGGGCUCGUCUUUGAUAUCACCUCUUUAGAGAUACUUCCCUGAUCAUCCUCUCUAAAGCAGAUUUCUUCCAGCAUUUUCUAUCUCAACUACAGUUAAUUUUCUUCAGUUAUAUUUGGUAAUUGUCUUUUUGUUUUUUUGGCUGUACCUGAAACAUGUGGAUUUUCCUGGGCCAGAGGUCAAACUUGUGCCACAGCAGUGACCCUAGUCACUGCAGGGAUAAUGCCAGAUCCCUAACCCAAUGCACCACAAAAGAACUUCAGUAAUUAUCUUUUUUCUUUACUCUUUUUGUUUUUGUUUCUUUCAUUUUACCAUUAGCUUUCACUGAACUACUAACUCUGUUAAGGGAAGAGGAAAGAUCUGUAUUAUUCAUUCUUUUAACUAUAUCACCUACUACAAUGUCCCCAUACCUAGUAGGUAUUCAAUAAAUAUUUGUCAAAUAAAGUAAUACAGGGCUUUACAAAUGUAUGAUCCAAUGAAUUAAAACAUAAUUUAAUAUCAUUAAAAUUUUUUAAAUUAUGCUAUAAGUUUUAUGGAAAAGAUACUUAAAAGCAUAUGUAAAUGGCUCUAUUUUGAGAUGAAAAUCAUUUCAUAAUAUGAAUUACUUUAAAAAUUGUUCUAUUCUGUUAUUUAUUUAUUAUUCUAUUUAUCUUUAAAUAGUCUGGUAUUUGAAUACUUUCUCAAUCCAGUCAAGAUGGGAGAUUUUGAGGAGGGAAUUCAUUAUUCUGAGGGCUUCAUUUUGUUUUGUAUAAUUUUAAUCAUGACAGUCUUUAUCAAAUCCAUGUUUAUUUAAAUAUUUAUUUCCUUUUGCAUAUGUUGGGAUUGAAUAUGUUGUUUUAAUUAGCGGCAUAGCUUUUUUGUUGCUUUGGCAUUUGACCAAAAGCAAAACAGAAUCAACGCAGUAUAAUCUAUGGUAAGAGAACUGAAUCUCAUUGCACAAUCGUGUCUCAUCAGCUAUAGGCUAAGCGAUGGCCUAUUCAGCAAUGUAUGCCAGGGAUAGCAGCUACAAUUACAUCAUGCUCCAUAAUAGACAGAGUUGCCAUUUUUGGUUUUCAGAAGAAACUUCUUUGUUUGAUCUUGGAUAGGUCCACAACUGGAUGACAGUAAAAUAAAAUAAAGUUAGAGGGAAAAAUUAACUAUCAAAAGAACACAUUGAUAAGCUCUCUUUCAGGUGGUGUUUUCUAAGUGGAAAAUUAAACUUAGACUCUGUAAUGAGAAUUCAUCACAUAAAGGUACAGAGAGAAUAAUGUGAAUCACGCAGUUGCUGUGUAAGAAGAACAGCAAAUGCCUUUUCAAGAGAGCUGGCUUGUAAUGGUUCACAUAUAUCAGUGCUAAUUUCACCAUGGUAAAUUAUCAUUAGACUUUAUUUAUUAACUUGCUAUUUCACAGUUACAUGCUGAUUUUCCUUCAAUAAACUCCAUACAUAUUGAAUUGUCUUUAUGCUCAAGACGUAAUGGGAAUUUUUUUCAAAUGGGUAAUAAUUUCAGUUGUAUUAUUUACGAAAGAUAGGAAUAUUAUCUGUAGUCUUUUUAGGAAGAAAAUCCUAAAUCUGUAAUGUAAAUAAUGUCUUUAAAGCCAACUCUAUCUCAAAAAACUGUUUGCCUCUUUUUAAAGCAGGGCCAUUGAAAGCUGAAAGGCGAGAGGAAGAAGGAAAAGCUAUCUCCCCAGGGCUCAAAUGCAACUCAACCUUGACCCAGCGAUGAGUUUCUGUUGGUUAGACUUGUAGGAAAAUAUAUCCAUAUAAAAGGGCAAACAGUACACUAGAACCUCAUCAUCAUACUGUUCUCUCUAGGUUUCAGUUGAGUACAAGGCAUGGCUUUGUAAAAGUUCCCGCUAAAACUGUAUCACAACGUCAUUUGGCGUAGGGUCCCACAGAUAUGAGAUGCCUCGGAAGCUAAGAAAGCUGCACCAGGGCCAUUCAUGGAUUUAUUCUAAACUUUAAAUUUUGGGGGUAGUUUUUAAUACCUACAUGCAUAUCCCUAAACAGUCUGUACACUCCAUGCAAAAUACCCUUACUCAAGAAAUUUCUUAAAAGCAGAUUAAUUAUUUAUUUUUUGUCUUUUCUAGGGCCACUCUGG